CUACGGAGGGUCCAAGCGUUAUCCGGAUUCAUUGGGUUUAAAGGGUCCGCAGGCGGGAAAAUAAGUCAGUGGUGAAAGCCUACAGCUCAACUGUAGAACUGCCAUUGAUACUGUUUUUCUUGAGUAUAUAUGAAGUGGGCGGAAUAUAUCAUGUAGCGGUGAAAUGCAUAGAUAUGAUAUAGAACACCGAUUGCGAAGGCAGCUCACUAAACUAUUACUGACGCUCAGGGACGAAAGCGUGGGGAGCGAACAGAAUUAGAAACCCCAGUAGUCC
rnacentral:rRNA from 1 species